UCGAGUACAAUUGUAAUGAUAAUGUUUAUAUUCAUAUGUUAUCUUUUGUUAUUUUCUAAAUGUACGUUGAAUAUGGAUACCCGUUCCUUAAAUCGGUUAUUAUAAUAUAUUGACUUAAAAUUGCGGUAGGAACCGAUACACUUCAAUUCCUAGAUCCGCCUCUUCACCCUGAGCCCACUUGUUGGCACAGUUAUGCAUGGCCAAGCCAACUACCAGUCGUGCAAGGAUGCUUUCUAUGCACAUUGUAAUGUACAUCCUCCAUGUCCUGCAUGUGAGCUAAUGGCCUGCCACACACAUUAUAUUUACCGAACUGCUUUAUGUAUAGUUGCCACCGACAAAGCUUUAACUCUGCUAAUAAGCAGAAUAUGUUUACCAAAUUUUGCAUUCUCAGAAGCAUGAGAGUAGCAAGUUCCAUGGCAAUGAGUUACGUGCAAUCACUUGAUCCAUUUGGUUACAACAACCAUGUCUUUUCAGUUUCAGGGGAAAAUAGAACAAGGAAAUGUCAUGGUCAACUUUCCGGGCGUCUCAUUGGGAUCAGUUCCAAAAUGCCAUUAUGCCCUAGCAGACCUUCAUUGACAAUGUUUGAUGAAAGAAGAAGGCUAACAAUCAAGGACAAACUUCUUAUUGCAAGGAACAACAAGAUCAAGCAAUGAAGUGGAGUGCACAAGGAAAUUUGGUAUUUUUUUUAAAGGCUCAAUCAACUCACUCCUCUAAGAAGAAAAUGUUUUAUGACCAUGAAAUAAGCUGUGAUCUAAACAACAAUUCAAUGAACAGGGAACAAAACAGAUGGAAAAGGAAAAGUCAUGUCAUAAUUGAGCUUUGAAACUACUUUUGUGAAGAAAAUAAGGAGCUAAAGCUGACCUGUACUGCAGCAGCUGUUUCCAGAGCUAUGGCCUGACUUACAGCAGCAUUACUUUCAAAAAAGUUGAUAAUUUGGUCAAUGGAAUCCUUCAAAUACUAAGGAAAAAAUUUUGAUCAGUUAAAACGCUAAACUGUUGCAACUGGUGAACUAAAAUAAAACUUCAGCUUACAGUCACAUAGCAGGGAGA
rnacentral:lncRNA from 1 species